AACGCACCUUGCGCUCCUUGGCAUUCCGAGGAGCAUGCCUGUUUGAGUGUCAUGUUAAAUCUCAACCCUCGGGUUGGACUUUGGACGCUUGCGGCGGCCUGGCCCGCCGCUCGUCUUAAAUGCAUUAGCGGGGACAGCGGCCCAUUGCUGGCGUUUAGUAAUGCUUGCGCCGAGCGGGGUCCGCCUUUCGCUUUUCGUCGUCCUUCUGGACACGCUUGACUUCUGGCCUCAAAUCAGGUAGGAUUACCCGCCGAACUUAA
rnacentral:misc_RNA from 1 species